CGUGCGCUCCCUCUAGGGCACGUGGUAAGCUCAUGUGUGUACACGCGCGUUGUUAUGUAGCCCUGCAGAAUGUGCAGAAGGAAAUUGGUUGCACGUCGUCUUGUUUUCAGUUCCGUAGCUGAACUCGUAGCUCUAUCCGUCAUGGGAGCGAUAGAGCGCUGAAAUUGACUAAGUGCUACCUUCAACCCUUCCAGUGAUGUCUUCUGCUUGUGGUAUCACAACUUUGAGAUGAGACCUCUGUUUGUCAUCAAUUUCAUUGGCACUUGUAUCUGGUAAUGUUGCCACACAAGCAGUUAGACAAUGUUUUGCACACACUUUGUGGAUAUGUUUGCAUAGGUGCCCUGUUGCAAAGUCGUAGCAGGUACACUGAAACAUGUGCCGACAGCAGCCACAGAUGGCACAUGUGAAAGAUGCACAACUGGAGUUGGGACAACAUGGAUGUUUCCUUCACAUUCCUGUGUGUAUGUGUGAUAUUCAGUUUAUAAUGAGUGUGUAAACGUAGCUUAUUUGCAUUUAUGUACCUCCACAUCUGCAUCGCUGAUCAGAAUUCUCCGGUCAUGUCGUGUCUCUUCUUGUUUUGUCCUAGGAUUGAGUGUAUGCCAGCGUUGUUUUUUCUGUACAUCAAGAGAUGUUUGCCAAAUAAGAGGGAUGUCUCUUCAGUUUGCUGUGGAAACUGCAAGAAAGAAACAGUAUACAUCAGCUACUGUGAAAUCAAGGGUGAUGUUUUAGUGACCAUUGAGUGUUCCUUGAUAGUCAAGGUACAUUGUAAUCUACAAUAAUUGGUCAAGUUCAUUUAACCCUG